rnacentral:lncRNA from 1 species
CAACACCAUGGUUGAUCUUAGCCUUUGAAUUCGGGUCCAAAAUAUCCGCUUCGUAGACUCGGACUUUAGGAACCGAAUGACAGUAAUACAAUAAGGAAGGGUACAGCGUUUGAUGACAUGAUACUGAUUUGGUAACUUUUCCACCAUUGAUUCCUUUUAUUGAUCCAAUCAUGAUAUUCCCCUUUGAUCCAUUUGUAUUCUCAGUUGUUCGAACCACCACAUUACGACCCAACACUGAUGUUGCGAAAUCAAUCAUAUCUUCAGCUGAAUUAACACAUUGUUUCGUCUCCCCAGGGCUCGGUGCUCUUUCACACUCACUCAGCGCAUCGCCAAUCAUCUUUGCCACCUGUGAAUCAUUGGCCGCAUGGAAAAUUUUCUUCAGCUCAUCAAUCUUUGAAGUAGAAAAAGGUAAUUUCGCAGCAAUCGCCCGGGGCAAAAAGGACCUUUUAGGCAUCUUAUCCUUUAUAUCUGGCAUAGGCAUGAUUGUACCACUCUUCAACAUCUUCUCCCGGAAAAACUUCCCGGGCUCAAUCCACCUGUUAUUCACCUUUUUGCCACCGUUAACCUCACUCAACGAAGCUAAAUCCUGCGAAGUUUUGUUGUGGUAAUUGGAAAAUGUAGCAGUAUCUUUGACAUAAUCUUUGAAAGUGUUGUUAACUCCGUAAGUUUUGAAAUUGAUAUGUGGGUCAUUACCCCCUUUUCCGUAAGUAGUGAAUACAUCAGUACCUUCAUUGAAUGAUUGACCAUAGUUGGUGAAAUUCGCUUCACCGCCAUUUGCAUCCUUAACAUAGGUUGUGAACGUGUCAUCUCCAACAUUCGAUUGAUCUCUGUAACUAUUAAAAGCCUCAGAUGGACCAUUACCUCCAACGCCGUAGUUGUUGAAACUGCUUGCCGGAUUAUUGCCGUUGAAACCAUAAGAUGUGAAAUUUUGGUUCUCCCCAUUUGCUGCCUCACCAUAAUUUGUAAAGUCUGAGCCAUCAACAUUAGUAUUGUUUCCAUAAGUAGUGAAUUGACUAUCCGCCCCAUUCCCAUCUUUUCCAUAGCUUUUGAAAGAUUGUUGACCAGCAUUUCCAUCGUUUCCGUAGGAUUUGAAGUCCUGUUCCCCUCCUGUUCCGUGGUCGGAAUAGGAAGUGAAAUGCAAAUCAGGGACAUUGGACCCCGGGGCGUAAUUGGUGAAUUGACCAGACCCCCCUGGAGUAUUUGUGCUAUAGCUGUUGAAACUUUGGACAGGCGUAUUGCCACCAGGGGCACCAUAGUUGUCAAAUUGAUUAUCAUGAGGAGAAUCUCUACCGUAGCGCCUGAAAGAAUUCACAGGGAAAUUUUCUUCCUCUGUAUAGUUCUUGAAAGAGUUGAAUCCGAGACCAGAUUCUUUGGUACCGUAAUUGGUAAAGUUCUUGUCACCGUAAGAGACAAAAUGGACAUCUCCUUUGUGUUUUUCAAGACUUGGUAACAAAUCAAGCGCACACAUGAGAUUUGCUGAAGAGCAAAAGGAUUGGAGGUGUGUAGUGAAUGCAUUUUGAUCAGCAACAAGUUUAGUGUAAGUUGCAUAUUGUGCAGCAUUCAAUGGAGAUGCCUUGUUCAGAAGAAACCAUGGCUUUGGUAAGUCAUUUGAGACAUGUUUAUUCCAGUAUCUAAUCAGAUAACCUUUUGGCGUAAACGGGUUCCCAGAUUCAUCUCCAUCUUUAGCCACAACAACCUGCAUUGACACCACCCCAGUUUCAUCAUAUAUUCGAUUGAGUAUAUUCUAACGUUAACACUGUCAAAUCAAAAUGACACAACAGAGGUCUAGUACGUUUGAUUGAAAUGUAUAAGAUUUACUUGACGUGUUUAAGUGAAAAGUCCCGUCAAAUUUUAAGAGACAGUUUCUUGAAGCUAUGUUGGUCUCAUUUUGUGUUUUCUUGAACUCACUACCAUAAAAACAACUUUUUUAGCAGCAAUAGUUCUUCACAUUAACAAAGAGUACUCAAGUUUUUACUAACAUUAGUUAUUUCUCAUUUGAUUCAAUAUCACUAUAGGCUUUAGGGACAUUUACAAAGAGUCUGAAUCGCAACUUAAACUACAUUUUUAGCGACAAGUAAGUUAUUAUCACUAAAGAUCAUUUUAGUGUAGUGACUACCAUAGAUACACCCCCAUGGGGUUUCAUCAAGUUACAAUCAUACUUUCCUUCAUUCACUUUUACUUUUAUUAGCGGUAAACUUUGCACUCCAUUUAAGAAAUAAUGAAUAAAAUGAGUAUUUCAUUGAAAUGCCUAUAUUAAUUGGUCCUUAGUUUCAAUGCAUUUACAAAUGUUUUUUUCAUAAGUAGUUAGUUAAUGUUAAGGAUAAACAAGAAAAAGAAUUAUUUUCCUGUAAGGAAAAACGAAAAUAUUUAAGACAAAAUUAACAAAAAGUAUUUAUGAGCAUAAGAGUUAAAGAUUGUUACUUACAUCCAAAGAUGAUAGUGUGAACAAAAGAAGAAGUAAGAUGCAGGAAGGAAGAAGAAUUUUGGUAUGCAUUUCUUUAGUGUUUAACAGAGAGAGAGAGAGGAAGUGAAGAGUAAAAUGUUGGUGUGGUGAUUGGUUUGGAGGCACAAAUUUAUAGUGCAAGGUAUAGAAGAUGAUGGAGUAUAUGGUGGGGUUAGUUUUGUUCUUGCACUUUGAAGUUUAAACACCAUCUACUAGUAAUUUUUACUUUAUUUAUAAUCAAUUAUUCGGACGUCGUUUGAUUUGACAAAAAAAUUUAAAAAAAUAAUAAGUUUUAUUGGCAACGCUAGUUGCUGCUAAUACCUAUCAAAGUCACCACUAAUAAUAGUUUUAGUGGCAAUACUAGUCGCUGCUAACACAAUUUAAAGUCGCCACUAAUAAUACGUUUUAGUAGCAACGCUAGUUGGCAACAAUAAUUGCUGCUAAAAAGUCGCCACAAAUAUCAUGUUUUAGCGGCAACACUAGUCGCCGCUAAUACCAUUCAAAGUCGCCACUCAUAAUAUGUUUUUAGUAGCAGCGCUAGUUGCCGCACCUUUCAAAGUCGCCACUAUUAAUAUGUAGAGGCAACAUAAGUCACCACUUUAAUGUCCUUUAGUAGCAACUUUAGUUGCCGCUAAUACCAUUAAAAGUCGCCUCAAAUAAUAUGUUAUAGUGGCCACUAAUAAUAUGUUUAGUGGCAACAUUAGUCGUCGCUAGUACCAUUCAAAGUCGCCACUAAUAAUAUCUGGCAAUACUAGUUGCUGCUAAUUCCAUAAAAAGUCGCCACAAAUAUCAUGUUUUAGCGGCAACACUUGUCGCCGCUAAUACAAUUCAAAGUCGCCACUAAUAAUCUUUUAGUGGCAAUACUAGUUGCUGCUAAUUCCAUAAAAAGUCGCCACAAAUAUCAUGUUUUAGCGACAACACUUGUCGCCGCUAAUACAAUUCAACAUCGCCACGAAAUAUCUUUUAGUGGCAAUACUAGUUGCUGCUAAUUCCAUAAAAAGUCGCCGCUAAUAAUAUCUUUUAGUGGCAAUACUAGUUGCUGCUAAUUCCAUAAAAAGUCGCCACAAAUAUCAUGUUUUAGCUGCAACACUUGUCGCCGCUAAUACAAUUCAAAGUCGCCACUAAUAAUAUCUUUUGUGGCAACACUAGUCGCCGGUAAUACCAUAAAAAUAGCUCAUGUAUUAGCUGUAACCUUAGUCGCCACUAAUAAUAUCUUUAUUGGCAACUUUAGUCGCUACUAAUACCGUAAAAAGUCGCCACAAAUAUAAUGUUUUAGCGGCAUUACCAGUCGCCGUUAAUAGCAUUCAAAUCGCCACAAAUAAUCAUUACUAGUCGCCGCGAAUAGCAUUCAAGUUGCCACAAAUAAUAUGUUUUUGUGGCACAAUAGUUGCUGCUAAUACCGUAAAAAAUCGCCACAAAUAAUUUGUUUUAGUGGCUAUACUAGGUGCCGCUAAUACCAUUCAAGUCGCCACAAUAAUAUGUUUUAUAUUAGUGGCUACACUAGGUGCCGCUAAUAACAUCCAAAGUUGCCACUAAUAAUAUGUUUUAGUGGCAACUCUAGUUGCCGCUAAUACCAUCCGAUGUCGCCUUUAAAAAGAGCAAACGAGAUAUAGGAGGGGGAGAGAGAGUCAAUGUAUCUUAAAUAUAUGUGAAUCACAUUAACUAUCUGUAUUCCUACAAAUAUAUUUUGUGUAUCUAGUGUAUUCCAAAUAACAUAUAGAUUCUGUGUAACUAAAUACCAUAAAUGUUCUAAAACAUAGAUAAAUAGGGAGAGAGGCGAGCGAAUGAGAGAUAACAGAAGUGAGUGAUAUAGCCAUAUAAGAGAGAGACAGUAUAUUCGAAAUACCUGUGAAUUCAUUAUAAUAAAAUAUUCAUACUAUUCGAAAUACCUGUGAAUUCAUUAUAAUAAAUAUGCAUACAGUUUAUUAUUUCUCCUUCAUGGACAAAUAAAAGUGAACAUAGUUACUUAGGGGAGGAUAUUACUUUGUCCAAAUAUAGAGAGAUUACAUAACAAAUGUAAAUCGACAGUUUUAAUACAUUCGGUUAAAACCCAAACAAGAAAAUGUAAAUAUUUAUUAAAAUCCCGUUUUUCCCCAGGCUUAAUCUGCAGUUGCCCAAGUCAUGUCAUUCUCAAAGAUCCAGUGACAAACCUCUAUUUUCCCGGGUCCUGACCCGAGUGCAAUGAAGGCUCCGUGCCUCGGUCCCCAUGAAGAAGUAUCCACGUGGCAAAUCGCAACACCAUGGUUGAUCUUAGCCUUUGAAUUCGGGUCCAAAAUAUCCGCUUCGUAGACUCGGACUUUAGGAACCGAAUGACAGUAAUACAAUAAGGAAGGGUACAGCGUUUGAUGACAUGAUACUGAUUUGGUAACUUUUCCACCAUUGAUUCCUUUUAUUGAUCCAAUCAUGAUGUUCCCCUUUGAUCCAUUUGUAUUCUCAGUUGUUCGAACCACCACAUUACGACCCAACACUGAUGUUGCGAAAUCAAUCAUAUCUUCAGCUGAAUUAACACAUUGUUUCGUCUCCCCAGGGCUCGGUGCUCUUUCACACUCACUCAGCGCAUCGCCAAUCAUCUUUGCCACCUGUGAAUCAUUGGCCGCAUGGAAAAUUUUCUUCAGCUCAUCAAUCUUUGACGUAGAAAAAGGCAAUUUCGCAGCAAUCGCCCGGGGCAAAAAGGACCUUUUAGGCAUCUUAUCCUUUAUAUCUGGCAUAGGCAUGAUUGUACCACUCUUCAACAUCUUCUCACGGAAAAACUUCCCGGGCUCAAUCCACCUGUUAUUCACCUUUUUGCCACCGUUAACCUCACUCAACGAAGCUAAAUCCUGCGAAGUUUUUGUUGUGGUAAUUGGAAAAUGUAGCUGUAUCUUUGACAUAAUCUUUGAAUGUGUUAUUAACUCCGUAAGUUUUGAAAUUGAUAUGUGGGUCAUUACCCCCUUUUCCGUAAGUAAUGAAUACAUCGGUACCUUCAUUGAACGAU